rnacentral:rRNA from 1 species
ACCCCUUUUCGAGGGGACGAAGGCAAUGACGGUACCCUCGGAAGAAGGAUCGGCUAACUACGUGCCAGCAGCCGCGGUAAGACGUAGGAUCCGAGCGUUGUCCGGAGUUACUGGGCGUAAAGCGCGCGCAGGCGGUCCGACGCAUCGGCGGUGAAGGCCCCCCGCUCAACGGGGGAGGGUCCGUCGAGAUGGUCGGACUGGAGGCAGGGAGAGGCCAGUGGAAUUCCGGGUGUAGUGGUGAAAUGCGUAGAGAUCCGGAGGAACACCAGUGGCGAAGGCGGCUGGCUGGACCUGACCUGACGCUGAGGCGCGAAGGCGUGGGGAGCGAACGGGAUUAGAUACCCCGGUAGUCCACGCAGUAAACGAUGGAGACUAGGUGUGGCGGGAGUUGACCCCUGCCGUGCCGGCGCUAACGCAGUAAGUCUCCCGCCUGGGGAGUACGGCCGCAAGGCUAAAACUCAAAGGAAUUGACGGGGGCCCGCACAAGCAGCGGAGCGUGUGGUUUAAUUCGACGCAACGCGCAACACCUUACCACGGUUUGACAUCCCUGGAACCCGGGUGAAAGCUCGGGGUGCCUUCGGGAGCCAGGAGACAGGUGCUGCAUGGCUGUCGUCAGCUCG